rnacentral:rRNA from 1 species
UACGUAGGGUGCAAGCGUUAAUCGGAAUUACUGGGCGUAAAGCGUGCGCAGGCGGUGAUGUAAGACAGAUGUGAAAUCCCCGGGCUUAACCUGGGAACUGCAUUGGUGACUGCAUUGCUGGAGUAUGGCAGAGGGGGGGUGGAAUUCCACGUGUAGCAGUGAAAUGCGUAGAGAUCGGGGAGGAACAUCUGUGGCGAAGGCGACUGCCUGGACCAGCACUGACACUGAGGCACGAAAGCGUGGGGGAGCAAACAGG